rnacentral:rRNA from 1 species
UACGAGCGGUCCAAACGUUAUUCGGAAUUACUGGGCUUACAGAGUUCGUAGGCGGUUCUACAAGUGAGGUGUGAAAGCCCUCGGCUCAACCGAGGAACUGCGCCCGAUACUGCAGUGCUUGAGGGAGACAGAGGUAAGCGGAACUGAUGGUGGAGCGGUGAAAUGCGUUGAUAUCAUCAGGAACACCGGUGGCGAAAGCGGCUUACUGGGUCUCUUCUGACGCUGAGAAACGAAAGCUAGGGGAGCGAAGGGG